rnacentral:rRNA from 1 species
AUUGAACGCUGGCGGCAUGCUGUACACAUGCAAGUCGAACGGUAACAGGCCUUCGGGUGCUGACGAGUGGCGAACGGGUGAGUAAUGCAUCGGAACGUACCCAGAGGUGGGGGAUAACGCAGCGAAAGCUGUGCUAAUACCGCAUGUGAUCUGAGGAUGAAAGCGGGGGACCGAGCAGCAAUGUUUGGCCUCGCGCCUUUGGAGCGGCCGAUGUCGGAUUAGCUAGUUGGUGGGGUAAAGGCCUACCAAGGCGACGAUCCGUAGCUGGUCUGAGAGGACGACCAGCCACACUGGGACUGAGACACGGCCCAGACUCCUACGGGAGGCAGCAGUGGGGAAUUUUGGACAAUGGGCGCAAGCCUGAUCCAGCAAUGCCGCGUGCGGGAAGAAGGCCUUCGGGUUGUAAACCGCUUUUGGCAGGAACGAAACGGUGUCCGCUAAUACCGGGCGCUAAUGACGGUACCUGCAGAAUAAGCACCGGCUAACUACGUG